CCAUCUCUGGGGUGACCGGAGAUGCUUCUUAUAGUCGAUGACCAACAGUGAUGCCAUAAGCCCUCGACCUGGGUCAUGGUGAGCCAGCCCACCACGUAGUGGGACGCCUAAAGUGACUGUCGAGAGCAGAUGUAACAUAGCGGUCAUGAUUAAUGGAGGCUCCCGGCAUCCCGGAGAUGCC
rnacentral:other from 1 species